rnacentral:ncRNA from 1 species
ACAGUUCGCCCCCGAACCGGUGCUUCGGCGCGCCCUGCGCGCCGAAGUUAAACGGGAAACAGGAAGGCGUCCCACGCCCAGCCUGUGCUGCCCCCGCAACGGUCCCCAUGCCGCGCCUCGCGCCGCAUGGCAGCCCGAUACCGGCCGGUUCGCCCACCGGGGA